ACAGUCUUCCUGAGUGGACCGCCUGCCAGUCCCUUGCCAAGCUGCCAGUGAGUGCUGUCCUGAAGGGACUGGAAGCAGCCUCCAUGGUUACCCUGCCAUUGGCUUCUUGGAGAAAGGACAGAAAAGAGAAGCACCUACAGCAGCUGGAAAACAAAGCUUGGAAUGUUGUCUGGGUGUACCCUGAAACCUUGAAACCAGAAGUCAGAAGAGAUCUGGACUGCUUUUAUGUUAGAAUUUUCAAGCCUAUUCCACUCUGUCUGAAAAGCUGAUCUGUGGUAUCAUUACCUGCAUCUACUGCAAGCAUUUGGUCUGUCCUUAUGGAAACUGAACUGCCAGACACCCAAUUGAACAUAAUGCCAUCCCAUAAAGAAGCUGGAUGCCUCCCUGUUUCCUCAUAGGCAUCCGGCUGUGAUUGGAGUUUUUAGGAGAAGGAACCUGCUUCCACAGGCAUCUACAAGUUCAUCAGUUUCACUAGCUACUUUGACUGAAACAGUCUUUUAUGACAGAGUUAGUUUUCUGUUUUUAAUAUCGUAAUUAGAUCACAUAUUCAUUUUUUUUCCUCCAACACUAAUGCUUAUGAUACAUGAAUUUUCCUCCAAAGGAGUAUUGUGAAUAAAACUUAUUUUUUUGAUUUGA